AGCGCUACGUGGGGAAAGAUCCAGCUGCUUUGAUGAAGCAGAGCUUAAAGAGUAAUUCUUUUAGCGCCA
rnacentral:tRNA from 1 species